AGAGUAGGCGGUAUUGCAAGUCCGUUGUUAAAUCUAUCGGCUUAACCGGUAGCUGCGGCGGAAACUGUAGUUCUUGAGUGAAGUAGAGGCAGGCGGAAUUCCUAGUGUAGCGGUGAAAUGCGUAGAUAUUAGGAGGAACACCAGUGGCGAAGGCGGCCUGCUGGGCUUUAACUGACGCUGAGGCUCGAAAGUGUGGGGAGCAAACA
rnacentral:rRNA from 1 species